CUGGUGGCGUGCUUAACACAUGCAAGUCGAACGGUGAAGCCCAGCUUGCUGGGUGGAUCAGUGGCGAACGGGUGAGUAACACGUGAGCAACCUGCCCCCUACUUCGGGAUAAGCCUUGGAAACGAGGUCUAAUACCGGAUAUGAACACUGACCGCAUGGUGGGUGUUGGAAAGUUUUUCGGUGGGGGAUGGGCUCGCGGCCUAUCAGCUUGUUGGUGGGGUAAUGGCCUACCAAGGCGUCGACGGGUAGCCGGCCUGAGAGGGCGACCGGCCACACUGGGACUGAGACACGGCCCAGACUCCUACGGGAGGCAGCAGUGGGGAAUAUUGCACAAUGGGCGAAAGCCUGAUGCAGCGACGCCACGUGAGGGACGACGGCCUUCGGGUUGUAAACCUCUUUCAGCAGGGAAGAAGCGAAAGUGACGGUACCUGCAGAAGAAGCGCCGGCUAACUACGUGCCAGCAGCCGCGGUAAUACGUAGGGCGCAAGCGUUGUCCGGAAUUAUUGGGCGUAAAGAGCUCGUAGGCGGUCUGUCGCGUCUGGUGUGAAAUCCCAUGGCUCAACCAUGGGCUUGCAUCGGGUACGGGCAGACUAGAGUGCUGUAGGGGAGACUGGAAUUCCUGGUGUAGCGGUGGAAUGCGCAGAUAUCAGGAGGAACACCGAUGGCGAAGGCAGGUCUCUGGGCAGUUACUGACGCUGAGGAGCGAAAGCAUGGGGAGCGAACAGGAUUAGAUACCCUGGUAGUCCAUGCCGUAAACGUUGGGCACUAGGUGUGGGGCGGGUUCCACUCGUUCUGUGCCGCAGCUAACGCAUUAAGUGCCCCGCCUGGGGAGUACGGCCGCAAGGCUAAAACUCAAAGGAAUUGACGGGGGCCCGCACAAGCGGCGGAGCAUGCGGAUUAAUUCGAUGCAACGCGAAGAACCUUACCAAGG
rnacentral:rRNA from 1 species